rnacentral:lncRNA from 1 species
AUGAUUUUGGUUUGAAAAAAGAUUUAUUGUAUUUCAUAGGCAAAAUCAUAAUUUUAUCAAGUUCUGAUUCAGAAGUCUCAAGAGUAAGAACACAAGAUUUGUAAUCUAUUGGAGGUAAUUUUAAUAUUUUUGAAUAUAUAUUUUAAAAGAAAAUCAUGUUUAUAUACUUGACUCGACCCCAUGAGUCGACUCAUGGCAAAAGGGGCUGAACGGCAUGCUGAAUUCUUUGGCUGGCACACUCUGUGAGUCGACCCCAUGAGUCGACCCCUGAGCAUGAGUCGACCCUAUGAGUCGACCUCUGCUACUGUGUAGGCUAAAAUUAUAGAACAGUCAUUUUCUAUUCUGUGCCACAGAAGUCGACCCCAUGAGUCGACUCAUGAGCAUGAGUCGACCCUAUGAGUC